CGCGGGGUAGAGCAGUUGGUAGCUCGUCGGGCUCAUAACCCGGAGGUCAGAGGUUCAAGUCCUCUCCCCGCAA
rnacentral:tRNA from 1 species